CGUGCCUGGACACGUUUUAGAUGGCAGGAAAGAAAACCUGAAUCUAUGAAAUCUGCGUGAAGGUUGUGAGCUCUCUGGCAGGGUUGAAGGAGUCGAGGUGGACCGAGUACUUUGGCCCAGGCUCUUCACUGAAGGGCAGCUGGAGGUGCUUGUAUAAGCAGCCCAUUGAGAAACGGACAGAAGACCUCCAGUGGAGGAUUGUGCACGGUGCGAUAGCCAUGAACAGAUACCAGGCACACCUGGAUACACAUUGGGGAGGAGUGUGAUUUUUGCCGUCACACUGAGACUCUAGAAUACUUGUUUGUUCAGUGUCCUCGGAUCUCAGCUCUUUGAACUUUUGAAGGGAUGGUUUCAGGGUCUUUUCUUUUAUUUAUUUUUGGUCCAAAAUACUGUAAAUAAAGAAAUGCUGCCCACACACUGGUGACCUUUUGGUCUGGCUGACACGGAAGAACAGGGCGAGGGGUGCUGGUAGUGAGAACCCGGGAAGGUUCUGAAGGGACUGCUGAAAGCCUGAUUCAGGGUGGAACACGCCUAUACAAGACGGUGAACCAUGUACAGACUUUCUAAGGUGUAUAAACCCUAUAGACAGAGUAUCGCCAAACCCUGCUACACUACCCGAUACUAAAUAAAGUAGACCUUAUGAAAAAUGUAUAUUAAGAUAAUAUAUCCCAUUAAACUAAACAUUCAUUCUCUACUACCCCGUUCUAUACAAGGGGGCAGGGGAAAUUGAUCAGUGGGACCCUCCGAAGAACCAUUGUUACUUGCUUCUUGGUAUUAAAUUACCGAGAAAAAGAGAGUUGGUGACUCUUAUUUUUGCGAAAAUCAAUCUGAUGAAAAUAAAUCUGUAUAAAAGUCUAUGAGAAAAUGAAGAUCUUAGAGGACCCGUGUGCGAGGAUGCACGUCAACAGCCCUGCUGGACGUUGUGCCAUCCUUUAAUAACAGUAACAACUUAUUUUUUAUUCUGUAUAACCCGCUUCACCACUGCUCUAUAACUGUAUUGUACAUUUUAUGGACAAAAAGAAGGGGUGGACAUUGUCAACUGCAUGCUACCGGCUCUUGAGCAGGUAUCUGCUGCUGUUGAGGAAGGGCCUGAGCAUUACUCCUCCUCGCUGCCCGCCCACAUUACGGCUCUUGAGAAAGCUUCCCUCCUUACAGCUUGGAAAACUAUCUCAUUAUUUAAGAGUAAUUCCAAAAAUGCAACAAUGCCUCGAUUAAUUGAAUGAGUCAGCGGUAUCGUAAGAUGCAGGAGGAAGUGAAAGACAGCGGAGAGAGAGCUGGGCGACACGCUAGCCUCCAGCUAAGCACCCUGCGAGGAGAGGUGAUGCAAUGCAAUUCCCCAACACAAAGAACGCCGUUCAAUACCAGGGGGCAGGGGGAACUGAUCGGCAGGGCUCUCCGAGGAACCAUUGCUACUCGCUUCAUUGUAUUAAAUGAGGAGAUGAGAGGAGGAUGGUGGAGAGGAAGAUCCUGAGAGGAGAGGGACUGGGUCAAAAGGCGGGUGAGGAGAAAUUAAAAAGGAGGAGAAAAUAAUCAAAUAAUAUUUGAGAAUAGAAGAAUGUCAAGACACUGAGGAGAGAGGAGAAAAGGUAUAUGCAGUCGUUGCAAAAUACCCCACUUGUGGUGUUGUUACGUGUACAUGGCACCGUCGACAAUCAGAAAUGUUGUUUUUGAGAAUAUUAUGUGGCUAGCCUAGCUAGCAUUCCCUAUUUGAACUAAUCACAAAACCCAAGAUAUAGGCUCAAAUGAGAUGAUUUUACAUAUUCUCCUUCAGCCAUUUCUUCAAUGAGAAACACGUUUUCUUUCCACAUUCUGAUAGGAAUUGGCAACCUCAUCCUUCUCCCUACACAGACUCUGCUGCCCUUCACACCUCGACAUUUUUUAAGCCCAUUGACAUAUUUGACAAUCUGGUGGGGCGAGCAGGCUGGUUAAUAUGGGCUUUUUUUUAAGAGGUUGGAAAUAUCUGCAAUGUCAAAAGCCUUUGAUUCAAUGCAGUUCAUUUUUUUAAAGGAGAAAUAAAACUGAGCAGACCUUCUAGUCCAACUGCCAACCCUGAACAAAGUCUAAUAUACUUCCUCCGUCUGAUGCCAAUAUUACACCUUUUAUUUCGAACUCUCUUUUUGCCGUGAAUAUAAUGCUGUAAUUUUAUGCUCCUAAUUUGUCUCAAACUACCGCUUGGGCGUGAUCAGGCGUGUUUUCAAAUGACCAUCAUUUUCAGGGGUUUCCAAUGGGGAAUUUUAAAAACUUAAUGUCUUAACACUUGACAUGUUUAGGAAAUGUGUUUCUGUAAGAUUGUAGAAUUGUGGAGCGGCAUUUAGAAUACUCUGAUGAACAUGCAUUCCUUCCUCCACUGAUAUAUCUUCUGUUGUUGUUUUUAUUAGCUGUUUGUAGCAUCAUCCCUGGUCUCCUUUACCCAGCAUCCCAUAACACGAUUAUGGAGAAAGCUCAGGUAGAGAACUGAAGGUCAUCUCAUGUGUCAGCUGAGCUUGCACACUGCCAUCAUCAAUUUGGUGCCCCAUUUAAGCUGUCAAAGUAAUUUUGGCUGUGCCCUGUCCGCCUGAUGUUCAUGCAUUUCUCAGGGCAUUGCCAACACUCUGCCGUCCACCUGUUACUUGUUCAAAAACGUUUUUCAAAAUGACAAAAAGAUAUUUUUAAAUGUCCAUCCCAACAUCUGAAGAGCCUAAACUGACUAAGCCAAUUUAAAUGUUGAGCUUGUUGCAUGCAUUUGGCAUUUUCAAAAUAAACUUUGGUCUUCAGAGGAGUACUCAGUUUCCCGAAGUUUAGGAGAGUACAAGAACAACAGGAUCGUUGCUCUCUCAAUCGACAACUAUCAGUUAUAAACUUUUCUCUUUUUCUGUUUAUUUCUUACAAAGAAGAAGUCUACAACAGCUAUAAGCUACAUGAACAGACCGUGACAUCAUCUUCUUCAUUUUUUGUGCUAAAAGAACGGGGACCAGCAACGACGUCCCACACCUGAGGGAAACCUCAAGGCAGCCACAACAUAUGUCUGAGUAGAUUUAGGACUACGGCCGGAGAACACCUUCUCCUUCCUCCACCCAGCCAUGUUCUAUGUCAGCGGUUCCCAAACUCAAGAAUGCCGUGGCCCAAUGUGAAAUCUGAAAAUCUUUUGCGACCCACCCAAACCUUUAAUCACAACUCUGAGCAAAACAUAAACUAGGGAUGAUUAAAUGACCGUAAGAAUAUAACCGAUUAAAAGUGUAUUAACCGACAAUGUAUGUUUUGUAUACCAUUUUCUCCGGAGCUCAUGUACCGUAUUUUCCGCACAAUAAGGCGCACCUUCAAUGAAUGACCUAUUUUAGAACAUUUUUCAUGUAUAGGGCGCAUCGGAUUAUAAUGCGCAUAAGAUACUGCAGUCAAACAUUUGACGUCGGGGCGGGUGAACGGGAUGGGCGCCGUAUACAACCAGUAUGGAUCAACCAAUCCAUUGAUAAGGCGCUCCGGAUUAUAAGGCGUACUGUCAUCUUUUGAAAAUUAAAAGGCUUUUAAGUGCGCCUUAAAGUGCGGAAAAUGCGGUAUACAGUGAUCCCUCGCCACUUCGCGGUUCACUUAUCGCGGAUUCGCUAUUUCGCGGAUUUUCAUAUUGCAUUUUUUUUUUUUUUGGUGCAUUGUGCUCUGCAUUCUGAUUCGCUAAAAACUCACUCCCGAGCCGUUAAUUACAGUUCUCCAACGUAAUCGAUGGUGGCAUGUCGGUGUACAAUGAUCUUUUUGCAAAGAAGAAAAAAGAGCGACAACAGCUGCCUAUCACUAUGUUCUUCUCCCGAACAAACACACCUGCACCGCGGGCUUCAGAAGAAGAGAACACUGCAGAGCGCAGUCAGGAUGCAGCGGCCCAGUCUGAAGAGCAGUGAAACGGCCUACACACGAGUCACUGUAUUUGUAUACAUGUAAUAGUUGCUAAUUGUAAAAAAAAAAAAAGUUUUCUAUUUCGCGGAUUUCACUUAUCGCGGGUCAUUUUCGGAACGUAACCCCCGCGAUAAACGAGGGAUUACUGUAUUUACUUUACUAAUACUACAAGAGGGCGCCCCAUUUGACAUUGUGUUGUUUAGCGGCGCUUUUUGUUGAAUAAAGACAGGCGGACGAGCAAGAGCCUUGUUUUAUUAAUCUGUUUGUUUAAAUGGUUUGUGCUUCAUCAAUUAUUGUUUCACAUAACGAAUGUGCCACAUCAUAAAUAUUUUGAUAUUAAUUUCAAACUUUUCAAACUUGAAAAUUAAAAACAUUUUAUUUAUUUAUUGUAAAUGACCUCUCGCGGCCCACCUGCAGUACCUUCAAAGAGGUGUCAUACCCCCAAAGAGGAGAGGUGCUCUGAGUGACUUUAUCGUUAGCACCACCUGGAUGAAGGAAGCAUACUAUCUAUGAUAACAUGCUAUGAUACCUUGCUUGCAGCUUUGCUAACAACCCUAGCCACUAGGCCAGGCCUAGGAGUUGCCAGCCGCCACUGGGAAGCAGCCAGCUACCACCAGGCAGCAGCUACCCACCACCAGGUAACACCAGCCAGCUGGAAGCAGCUACCCACCACCAGGUAACACCAGCCAGCUGGAAGCAGCUACCCACCACCAGGUAACACCAGCCAGCUGGAAGCAGCUACCCAUCACCAGGUAACACCAGCCAGCUGGAAGCAGCUACCCACCACCAGGUAACACCAGCCAGCUGGAAGCAGCUACCCAUCACCAGGUAACACCAGCCAGCUGGAAGCAGCUACCCAUCAUCAGGUAGCGGCGAGCAGCUGGGGAGGAUGGCUGGACGAACAGCCAUUAAUAAUAAUAAAAUAAUAAUACGGUGGUGAGAAUGGUUAAUGAUAUCUAUGUACAGUGUACAGAGCUGUGCUCCCCUCAUAUUUGACUCUAACAAGAAAUAAAUGUGAUUUUCAAAAGGAUACUUAGCAAGGCAGCAAUAAUCAGAAAGGAAAUUGGAAACAGAAAUGUUGUUUGUUUGUUAUUUUAUUUCUUAAUGUAAAUGUUGUUCUCUACGUCUGUGUUUUUGUUCGUCAACAUUGAUGCAUUUUAUGAUUUGUAUUGUAAUGUUUUUUUGCCUGGACCCCAGGAAGAAUAGUCUCCACUACGGUGUAGACUAACUUCUGCUCAGAUAGAUCCCACACAGAUCACAAUUAAACUCAUGAUUAUCUUUAGACAUCAAUCUAAUAAAACAUUAUGGCACCAUUGUAUUCUACCAUUACACUGGUCGAGUUGGAACAUCUGCGUAUUUAAUUAUGCUGUUGUUGUGCCGGGUGGAAACAGUCAUAUGUGUACAGUGCGUGUAGACUUUUCUUUGACCAAUGCUCGAAAAAACAUUAAAACUUAAAAUGAUAUAAAACUGUGAAAAUGCGAAAUAUAAGAAAAUGCUUAGAAAUAUGAACACAAAAUGUCAAAAGAAUUGGGGGAAAUGUUUUUCCACCUCACUGUAGAUUUAAAAGUACCACUGUAGGUAUAGUGUGUUUAUGUGUGUGCGCACAUUCACAGCUAGUCAAGUGAGGUAAACACAAUUGUCAUACUGACACACUUCCUUCUCAUCCAUCUCUAUGUGGAAGACACACCUGGGGUUAUGACACUGUGUGGUGUCAGCAGUUUCCUCUCGAUGAGUUUUGCAGGCUUCGGUGUCACACAGCUAUUAUUGUUUGUGUGUGUGUGUGUGCAAGUGUGAAUGCUCUUGUUGUUUUGGUCUGUCCAGAGGCGAUGCUUCACUUUACACUGACACUGCAGCAUGUACACAAGUGUGCUUGGAGAUCUUCACACACUUUAUCCUGAGAUGCCCACACACACAAGUCAAAGUAGCUUAAUAAGAUAGAUGAAGUAAUAAUGCAGCGCUGACCUCCUCGCAGUCGUCAGUGCAGAAAAUAACCAACCAACUAUGGUUUAAAAAUCAACAGCAACGCACAAAAACAAACCUCACAGCUAUAGAGAAUGUAGCUGCAAAGCUCUGGCACACAAACCGACAAACGCACAUCUAAUAAUAAACACACUCAUAGUAUUCAUAAUGGCAUCCAGAGUGCUUGUUUGAAGGAGAUGGAAUGUGUGUAGACGUAAAUACCAGGGACAAAGCGACACUUAAAUUAAAUACAUCGAAAAGCAAUAUUUUGCAUGAACUGGAAUUAAUAUCAUCCUUUAUUUAACAAUGAGUUAAUAAUAAUGUAAUUCUCACCCAGUUACACAAGGUGUAGCAGGCCCUGUGAAUGUAACCUUUAUGACAGCCAUUGAGUCACGACAUCCAAAUCCCCACCAGAAGCAGGUUACCAAAGAACAGAGCUAAAGGAAACGCCCUUCAGAGACGGCGGACUUCCUACAGAGACUGUUUUAAUGCCACUCUGGAUGUAUUAUGUGCUUAUUUUAAGUUUGUAUGUUUCACCAAUUUUAAUUAUUAGUUAUGGGGAACUAAUCCCGCACAAACAGAUGAAAGGUCGGCAUCUUAGAUGUAAAGCCAUCUUAACGGAGAGAGAGACACCCAACUGCAAAAGGAGAGUAGAGAAAUAGACAAAGACAAAAAUGGAUGAUGAAAAAAAGUUCAAAUCAACCAAUAUAACAUUUGCUCAAGUGCAUUUGCGCUGGUGUUUUUUCAUGAGUGAGAAUGUAAAGUCUGGGCAUUCCCGACUCUUUGCAGUCAUGCCUCCGAAAUGGUGGAACAAGCUCUCUGACGAUGGCUGCUGUUUCCAAUUUGGGGAUUUCUUACCAACUUUUGGAUAAAAUGGUGUCAUUCAUAUUCCGUUAUGAAUACAAUACAAUUUUUUUUAAGAAUACCGUAGCUGACUUCUUUAAGUACAUUUUAAAAGUCUGUAGACAUCACACUCAGGACUCCUUAGAGAAGAAGCCGUCGUCCAUUGGUAACAGCACACAUUAAGGACGCAGGAGGAACUGAAGGUUACAUUUCUCUUGUGAAGUUGAGAAAGAGUCCAGCUUUUUUUGCUGAGGCUCCACACUUGCAACACUUUUAUCCACAGAUGUCCACCACUUUAUCCUUCUUACUGGCUCUGCAGGCCGACAAAAACACACAAGCCAAACCCGUGUCCUCAGAGAGAAUUUCAUUGUUGUAGUAUGAGUUGUAGGGUCUAUUUUUGGGAGCCCCACUUACUGAUUCAGCCCCCAGGACUCUUUGUUAACAAGUAAACACAACCUCCGCAGCACUCCCACCGUCCUCCACAGUCCACUGUGUGAAUAAGAGACACACACAUCACUGUAUAAAUUCAACUUGCCCUUAUGCAGCCCAAAUUAAAGCAGUGUAGUAGAUGUGCAGUAGUGGGAGUACAAGAAAAACUAUCUUUAUGACAAUCCUUUGUGUGAAUCUGGAGGUUCAGAGUCAGUUCCUUUAGAUUUACACGCAAAAUGUAUGCUCCCAAACACUGAGUGGGAGUCAACUAUUAAACACCGUACAAAGUUUCACCUUUUCACCUCACAACAUAAUAAAACCAUCAUCUAAUUGGACAACAAAAUAAUAAUAUACCACAAUAUGCAGAGCAAAUACCAUGCAUUCUCCCAAACUUUCAUGCAUAUGGGGGUGGGGUUUGGCAGGCUGAUUGAUGAAAGAAUGAAUUGCAGGCGUUAAUCCACCAUGAAGUUUGCUUCACAUCAUCUCCUCCAUCUCUGAUUCCCAAAAGAUACCGAUGUUUCAGCACAAACACACCAUAGAGUCCUGCAGCUGAGUACAAUUUUCCCUUCUUGUGCCGGAUUUCAAUUCAUCCAGGAGGGAAAGCAGUGUCAUUACAUUGAGGCAAAUGGGUCAGUUGCAUGGGGUUGAGAGUCAGCCGGAGCUGAAUUUAUAAUCUCUGGGAAUUUUUUCUUUUUUUCUUUCAAAUGACCACUCAAACUGUAUACAAACCCUGGCCCCCAUAAGGUAUCUUUGAACCGUCUAGUGUGCCGUCAAUCAGGUAUUUUACAUAUGCAAAUAAGCAAUUAGAUAGUAACCUUGAUGUUGCUUUUCUCUUUGUAUCCAUAGUUACUGCCGGGCUGUUGGACUAAAAUGAGCUAAGUACCCAAAAUGGGCUUUUCAAAGUUCAAGCCAGCCUCUCAGAGAUUUAUGUCAACAAAUAAAUCAACACUUCCAUUAUGAUUCAUAUCAUUUUCAAUGAACUAUUUUAGUAUUGUAUAUAAAGUUUUAUUCCCACCUGUCUGAUGAUGGUGAAAGAGUGGAUAAUGGAGUAACUGGUCGGGUGCCAACCCCUCAGCUGUGUUUGCCAUAAUGAAAGUUAAAGCUGUGUAAAACAUGAUGUUUGAAAAUGAUUAACUAAUGAUAGUUUUGUGUUUUGUUUGUUCCAGUGCAGUGUUAAUUUUGGCAGCUAUUUUUGAUUUAGUCUUUAGAAGAAAAAUGCAUAUUAGUUUUAGUCACAUCAUUCAGUCGUUUUAAUCCUUCUUAGUUUUAGUCUAGUUCAAAACUCAUUAACAUUUUAGUCUAGUUUUAGUUGACAAAAACUAGACUAAAAUGUAAAUAGUUUUAGUCUAGUUUUAGUUACAUUUAAUUUUAAACUCCCUUUCUUCCAUUCUCAGGCCCAGGGACCCCCUGUGUUGUGUCUAUAACUGCAUAAUAGUCUAGCUUGCAGUACUUGGUUGUCCAUUAGAUGUCCCUCCUAGGACAGGUCUAUAGAUGUCCCUCCUAGGACAGGUCUAUAGCAGGUCGGUAAACUCUGACUCGCGGCCACAAUGGGUUGUAAAAUUUGACGGAGGAGCCGGGCCAAGAACAAAUGGUUGAAGUGUUUGUGUGAGCGAAUAUAAACGACAUGUGAAAAAUCAUUACAUGAAAGGAUUUGGAUUUUAACAAAUAGCAAAGCAUUUAUUUGCAAGGCAAUUUAACAAAUUGGCAAACGCAACACUUUGUUGUCUUUGUCUGUUUACUUGCAAUGCUUUUGACACUUCAUGCUCCUUUAUGCAGGAAACGCUGCCUGCCGUCGCCAGAGAACAGAGCAGAAAGGUCCGACAGCCUGUUAAACGGGUCUUCAUGUUUCUGUGAAGCAGUGCGGCUUCAGCCUGCUAACAGGCAGCUAAACCGAGACAACGAAGCUAAACUAACGAAGCCACAUUCAAUCUCGCCGAAGCGUAAAAUAGUCGUCGCGGUCCGUAGUCGGUGCACAAGAACCACCGCUGCACCGCUGCGAGAGUUCUGGGUUUGGAUGACGUCAUCAUGGCGCGUUAAUAUCCGCGUACGGGCCCGUACUUUGCCGGUCUGUUGUCUGUUAGGUGCGUGCAAAUUUAAGGGGGGGAAAGUAUCGUGACUUCGUCAACCACCAACAUUUUCGUCUCGUUAACGAAAGAUAGAAUAGAUUUAGUCGAAGUUUUUAUUUUUUAAGAUCGUUUUCGUCACGUCUUAGUCUCGCCUUAGUCAUGGAAAAAAGGUUUGUUAACCAAAAUUUUUUGUCAGUUUUCGUCAACGAAAUUAACACUGUUCCAGUGUCUGUUGAUAAGUAAAGUGAAAAUUGAAAAAAAAAGAAUACUUCUGCCCGAUGCUUCUCCCAUUCCGUGUCCCUGAUCCAAGAUGGCGCCGAUGAUGGCUGCCACGGUGCUUCGGUGCGCUUCGUUUUUUGUUGUUAAUUAGGUUUCCUGUUGUGAUUCCCGGAGCUCUUUCACCAGAGAUGAGCUCUUGAACAUCCGUGGAACAACUCCAGCGGAGUUACUUCCAACUUUCCUGCUUUCUUCCGUGGAAUUACUGGACAUUUUAGUCAAAGGUGCGCUCACCUUUCGUCACGCGGUGAGACGCCGUAGGAGAGGAAAACGGGCCGGCUCGCUGGUGAGACUCCGCAGGCGUGGUUCUCGCACUCCGCUGCCAGGCAUCUUUCUCUUCAACGUGCGCUCACUGUGCAACAAACUGGACGAAAUUCAGCUGCUGAUGAGGAGAGACAGAGACUUCUCUACAUCCUCCGUCUUGUGCUUCACGGAGACGUGGCUCUGCGGAUCGAUACCGGACUCCGCGCUCCAGCUGGCGGGCUUCAGCUGCUCCGAGCGGACCGCGACACGGAGCUCUCCGGCAAGACGAAGGGUGGAGGAAUCUGCUUCUACUUCAACAACAGCUGGUGCAACGACGUAACGGUGAUCCUACAACACUGUUCUCCUGAUCUGGAAACUUUUUUCAUCAACUGCAAACCCUUUUAUUCCCCCCGUGAGUUCGCUUCAUUCAUCCUGGUCGGUGUUUACAUGCCGCCGGCGGGCAACGUGCACGAGGCACAGCGGACACUCGCCGACCAGAUACGGCGUGUGGAGCGGACCAACCCGGACUCCGGAGGUAAUCUCACCCAUGAACUUCCUAAAUACAGACAGUUUAUUAAAUGCCCCACCAGAGAGGAGAACACGCUGGAUCACUGUUAUACCACAGUAAGCAGGGCUUAUCACACUGGGACACUCUGACCACGUCAUGGUCCAUUUGAUUCCUGCAUACAGGCAGAAACUAAAGCUCCGCAAACCUGUGGUGAGGGAAUUCAAGAAGUGGACCAGUGAGGCGCUGGAGGAUCUUCGGGCGUGCUUUGACUGCACAGACUGGGAUGUUUUCAGGACGGCUACUGACAGUCUGGAUGAGUUCACAGAGGCUGUAACUUCCUACAUCGGCUUCUGUGAGGACAGCUGUGUACCAUCAUGCACCAGGGUGAGUUACAACAACGACAAACCUGGUUCACAGCGGAACUCAGAACACUACGCCUGCAGAAGGAUCAGGCAUUUAGGAGUGGAGACAAAGACUUGUACACAGAAGCAAAAUACAAGUUUAGCAAGGCGGUGAGAGACGCUAAACGACUGUACUCUGAGAAACUCCAACAACAGUUCUCAGCAAGUGACACUGCUUCGGUCUGGAGACAAACACCUCACCAACUACAAGCCAAAAAACCCCCACUCCAUGAAUGACCUCCGCCUGGCAGACGACCUGAAUGAGUUCUACUGCAGAUUCGAAAGACAAUGUCCUGAUCCCAUCCCCCACAGCUCCACCAACCUGCUGCAGUCCCCCUCCCCUCCCUCCCCCAGCCCAUCAGGUGCUCACGCCUCUUCAACUAUAUCACCUUCCCCUCCCCCACCAGCAACGACCCUCUCUAUUCUGGAGAGAGACGUUAACCGGCUCUUUAAAAGACAAAAUCCCCGUAAGGCAGCCGGUCCGGACUCAGUCUCCCCUCACACCCUGAAGCAUUGUGCUGACCAGCUGUCUCCGGUGUUCACUGACAUCUUCAACACCUCCCUGGAGACCUGCCACGUACCAGCCUGCUUCAAGGCCUCCACCAUCAUCCCUUGUUACGUCCCCCAGCUCUGGUGUUUGUUGCUACACGUGUUUGGGUGCACGCAGUGUCCUGAUUACAGAUGAGCCACACCUGAGCAGAACCUGUGUUGGCGCUACAAAGGCUUCCUGGACCAUUCGGGGGCCACACAGAUCCUUCAGUCUGCACAACGGUGCUUGCUGCUGCCAAGAUCGCCGUUCAGCCGUCCACCCGGCAGUGAAAAACGUUCCACAUUUGUAUUUUGUUUUAGUUUGUUGUUAAGAUACCUUUAAUAUCCAUUCUGUUAAAUAAAAUACCCCUAUCGUAUUUUGAUACGAGCCGGUUUGUGUGUGUCUCGCCUUUAUGUUAAGGGUGGUGUCCGACCGCCCGUAACAUCCCUGUUCCCAAGAAGCCCAGGAUCAUCACACAUGGGCCAAGUGUUUUAUGAGCAAAUACAGAAUCCCUUUGUGUUCAUUUCUAAAGCCUCCCAUUAAGACACACGUCACUUUAUUUAAGACGCUGCGCUACUUGCAAGUUGCAGUCUUGUGCCAGAUUCUCAAUAAAGUCAGACAAAAACAUGUACGGCAUUCCCGCUGUCAUGAAGAUACUCAUUUAACGUUACAUGGAAUCUGCAUGAGGAGGAGGGUUCGUGUCGCUAAAUACCCAACUGAGAUCGGCUUGUGCCGUUCUGACAAAGGAACCUGCCACCAACUAUUUUGGUCAACCAAUAUGGUGUCUGAAUGGCAUAUGUUUUGUACUUCUCAUCCAACCACAAUCAAAUUCACUCUAUCUAGAUUGUGCGUUAUUUUGUGGUGCGCGUAUACACAGCGUUAGCACGUAGCUAACCAGCUAGCUAAACUUCCUGGUGUAGAAGGCUUCGUAUAUGCGGCUUUCCUUUCACGCCGGUCUGUUGUCUGAUUGUGGGGCUGAUCUGGGUCCAGUUGUUUUCCCUCUAGUUUCGCCAACAGUUCUUUUCUCAAAUGGGUCUUGGAGUAGAAGAUGUACUGAGUUUGGGUCGGGUCUUCAUGGAAGGACACUGCUUGUCGUUGCUCUUACUGUGUUGUAAAAACUGCACCUCUCGAGACUCGCCCUGGCGAGAGCGCGGCGUAGGGCGGCGAAGGGGUUAGCCCAAAGCUGAAUGUAUUUUAGGACGCUGAAAUUAUAUGUCACUAAUUCAUCUUUAUCAGUGAUUGGCUAAACUGCUUCUUAGACCCGCCUCUUUGGUCCUGGCUAGAGCCCAACUGAGACAUGCGGAAAGAACGCGCUGAUAUCAUAUCCAAACACAGUCAUGCCCGCACGUCAUUUUGCGGUGCGCGUAUACACAGCGUUAGCACGUAGCUAACUAGCUAGGUAAACCUCCCGGUGUAGAAGUCUCUACAGAAGCUCAGAACGACUCGUUUACUCAGAUUUUCAAAGAAAGAUGCACUAUAGCCAGCAUGUACAACAUUCACUGCCUUCAACUUAAAUAAGGGCGACCUGUUUCACAGAUUUUCAAUUAUUUGACCUAAGACC
ensembl:lncRNA